rnacentral:misc_RNA from 1 species
AAGUCGUAACAAGGUUUCCGUAGGUGAACCUGCGGAAGGAUCAUUACCGAGAUAGGGUGCCGGCCUAAACCCCCGGCGCUCGACCUCCAACCCUAUGUCUACAUUACCACUGUUGCCUCGGCGGGUCGUCGAAAGCCUAGAGAUAGGCCCAGCCGUCGGCCCCUUAAACAAGGGCCCUCGAGCGCCCGUCGAAGGACCACAUUAAACCAUUUUGAAACGAGCCUUCUGAGUAAAAUCAUAAUACUUCAAAA